GUGAGGAAUAUUGGUCAAUGGGCGAGAGCCUGAACCAGCCAAGUCGCGUGAAGGAAGACGGCCCUACGGGUUGUAAACUUCUUUUGCAAUGGAAUAAAAAGAGUUACGUGUAAUUCAUUGUAUGUACAUUGCGAAUAAGGAUCGGCUAACUCCGUGCCAGCAGCCGCGGUAAUACGGAGGAUCCGAGCGUUAUCCGGAUUUAUUGGGUUUAAAGGGUGCGUAGGCGGAUUGGAAAGUCAGCGGUGAAAGUUUGCAGCUUAACUGUAAAAUUGCCAUUGAAACUGUCAGUCUUGAGUGCAAAUGAGGUAGGCGGAAUGUGUUGUGUAGCGGUGAAAUGCAUAGAUAUAACACAGAACACCAAUUGCGAAGGCAGCUUACUGGGAUGCAACUGACGCUGAGGCACGAAAGCGUGGGGAUCAAACAGGAUUAGAAACCCCGGUAGUCC
rnacentral:rRNA from 1 species